CACUGUAAAGCUACCUAGCAUUAACCUUUUAAGUUAAAGAUCGAGAGGGACCCCCUCUCUACAGUGA
rnacentral:tRNA from 1 species